GGAUUAGAUACCCUGGUAGUCCACGCCGUAAACGAUGGAAGCUACCCGUCAGGUAGCAUGCUAUUUGGUGGCGCAGCUAACGCAUUAAGCUUCCCGCCUGGGGAGUACGGUCGCAAGAUUAAAACUCAAAGGAAUUGACGGGGGCCUGCACAAGCGGUGGAGCAUGUGGUUUAAUUCGAAGCAACGCGCAGAACCUUACCAGCCCUUGACAUGGGGAGUUUGGUCUUUGGAGACGAAGGCCUUCAGUUCGGCUGGCUCCCGCACAGGUGCUGCAUGGCUGUCGUCAGCUCGUGCUG
rnacentral:rRNA from 1 species